rnacentral:rRNA from 1 species
UACGGGGGGGGUAAGCGUUGUUCGGAAUUACUGGGCGUAAAGGGCUCGUAGGCGGCCAACUAAGUCAGACGUGAAAUCCCUCGGCUUAACCGGGGAACUGCAUCUGAUACUGGAUGGCUGGAGAUUGGGAGAGGGAUGCGGAAUUCCAGGUGUAGCGGUGAAAUGCGUAGAUAUCUGGAGGAACACCGGUGGCGAAGGCGGCAUCCUGGACCAACACUGACGCUGAUGAGCGAAAGCCAGGGGAGCAAACGGG